GGCAAAAUGUAACCUAGCGUUAUGUUGUAAUCUUGCCCAGGAUUCAAAAAAAAUAUGAAUUGAAUUCGUUGAAAAUCCUGGCUAUGGAAUCCUGGUAAAAAUUCUGUGAGAUUCUUGCGAAUGUUGAGGCUGAUUUGCUGCUGACAAGAAAAGUAAUCGCCGAUCAAGAUACGUGGGAAAUUACUUGACUCUGCCCCAUUCAGUCAAGCAAUCUCGUGUCCAGAAUUCAGUUCUGAAAGUCGUGUCCAGAAUUCUUUAAAAAACCUGUUCAAGAUUUUGUAAAAAGCCUGCUUUCCUAAUAAUCCUGUCAAGAAUGAAAGUCGAAGGAAGCCAUGGUAGAAUCAUUGUUGAAACACCCAGAAUUUGAGAUUUAGAAUUUGAAUCAUUCAUAAAAUAAAAUAUCUAAGAGGGUUAAAAAACAAAACAAUUUAAAAAUUUACUAAGCUAGAAUAUUAGGUUGAAACUAAAUUGAAAAUUAAAUAGGCUUAGUAUGUUCUAACUUCGGGGUCAAUAAUUCAGAACUAUUCGAAUAACAUGUACGUGAGCCGACAAAUGCUGAGAUUUCAAGUUUUUAGAGUAAUAUUGUUGAUAAAAUGUCUACUAGUAGCGGAAGAUUUGGCGUGGAGCUUAGUGGCAAGCAUUAGCGGCAUUAUUGAUUAGAUGGACGAAGUCGCCGGAUGCAAUCCCGGAAUACCAGUGAACUUCGAUUUUGUCAAUGAUAUUAAAUUUGUUUGAUAUAUUAUUGUA